UACGUAGGGAGCAAGCGUUGCCCGGAAUCAUUGGGCGUAAAGCGCGCGUAGGCGGCCCUGUAAGUCCGUUGUGAAAGUCAAAGGCUCAACCUUUGAAAGCCGAUGGAUACUGCAGGGCUAGAGUCCGGAAGAGGCGAGUGGAAUUCCUGGUGUAGCGGUGGAAUGCGCAGAUAUCAGGAGGAACACCAAUAGCGAAGGCAGCUCGCUGGGACGGUACUGACGCUAAGGCGCGAAAGCGUGGGGAGCGAACAGG
rnacentral:rRNA from 1 species